UAUAUUUUAGCUAUUAAAAACAUGAGAAGCAAAUGAAUACAAUCCUCCUCAUUCAGAAGAUGUAACUGUUCGACAUAUCCCACCUCCCACUCCCCAACCACUCCUAAAGCCUUUUCUUUUCCCAAUUCUCCCUUUCAUUUCCUUCCCUUGUUUCUGCUUCUGCUGCAGGAUUUGUGUCUGGAACGGAUCCCUGAGGCAGGUCAGUGUUUUCCUGAAUCCAGUCAAAGGCAGCAGCCAAGGUGGAUGAUGGAGGACAGCGAAGGAAAGUCUCCCUCAAUGAGAGAGGGAACAAGGAUUGGGUCUGCAAGUAGAAGUAUAAGAGCAUCUCUUCCUCAAGAGGAACUCAGAAUAGCAUCUGCAGGAGUACAUCAGGUGACUUUUGAGGAGGU